UCGAGCGGCAAGGGCCUUCGGGCCCCUAGAGCGGCGGACGGGUGAGUAACACGUGGACAAUCUGCCCCCCGGUCCGGGAUAGCCCAGGGAAACCUGGAUUAAUACCGGAUGAGACGGGACCCGCGGAGGCGGGAUCCGGGAAAGGCGCUGCGGCGCCGCCGGGGGAUGAGUCUGCGUCCCAUUAGCUAGACGGCGGGGUAACGGCCCACCGUGGCGACGAUGGGUAGCCGGCCUGAGAGGGUGGACGGCCACAUUGGAACUGAGACACGGUCCAGACUCCUACGGGAGGCAGCAGCUAAGAAUCUUCCGCAAUGGGCGAAAGCCUGACGGAGCGACGCCGCGUGAACGAAGAAGGCCGUGAGGUUGUAAAGUUCUUUUCGGGAGGGGGAACAACCGUGGCAGGGAAUGGCCGCGGGAUGACGUGAAUCCCGGAAUAAGCCCCGGCUAACUACGUGCCAGCAGCCGCGGUAACACGUAGGGGGCGAGCGUUGUUCGGAAUCAUUGGGCGUAAAGGGCGUGCAGGCGGUCCUGCAAGUCCGGCGUGAAAGACCCCGGCCCAACCGGGGGGACGCGCUGGAAACUGCAGGGCUUGAGUACAGGAGGGGAUGCCGGAAUUCCAGGUGUAGGGGUGAAAUCUGUAGAUAUCU
rnacentral:rRNA from 1 species